GCUAGCCUACGGGGCGCAGCAGUGGGGGAUAUUGCACAAUGGGGGAAACCCUGAUGCAGCGACGCCGCGUGGGUGACGAAGUAUUUCGGUAUGUAAAGCUCUAUCAGCAGGGAAGAAAAUGACGGUACCUGACUAAGAAGCCCCGGCUAACUACGUGCCAGCAGCCGCGGUAAUACGUAGGGGGCAAGCGUUAUCCGGAUUUACUGGGUGUAAAGGGAGCGUAGACGGAGGAGCAAGUCUGAUGUGAAAAUCCGGGGCCCAACCCCGGAACUGCAUUGGAAACUGUUUAUCUAGAGUGUCGGAGG
rnacentral:rRNA from 1 species